rnacentral:rRNA from 1 species
GACGAACGCUGGCGGCGUGCUUAACACAUGCAAGUCGAACGGUGAAGCGCCUUCCUUUUUGGUGGGUGUGGAUGAGUGGCGAACGGGUGAGUAACACGUGAGUAACCUGCCCCCUUCUUCUGGAUAACCGCAUGAAAGUGUGGCUAAUACGGGAUAUUCUGGGUCUGUCGCAUGAUGGGUCUGGGAAAGAUAUUGUUUCGGUGGGGGAUGGGCUCGCGGCCUAUCAGCUUGUUGGUGGGGUGAUGGCCUACCAAGGCGGUGACGGGUAGCCGGCCUGAGAGGGUGGACGGUCACACUGGGACUGAGACACGGCCCAGACUCCUACGGGAGGCAGCAGUGGGGAAUAUUGCAGAAUGGGCGCAAGCCUGAUGCAGCGACGCCGCGUGAGGGAUGGAGGCCUGCGGGUUGUGAACCUCUUUCGCCAGUGAAGCAGGCCUGCCUCGUUUGUGGGUGGGUUGACGGUAGCUGGAUAAGAGGCGCCGGCUAACUACGUG